rnacentral:rRNA from 1 species
UACGGGAGGCAGCAGUGGGGAAUAUUGCACAAUGGGCGCAAGCCUGAUGCAGCCAUGCCGCGUGUAUGAAGAAGGCCUUCGGGUUGUAAAGUACUUUCAGCGGGGAGGAAGGGAGUAAAGUUAAUACCUUUGCUCAUUGACGUUACCCGCAGAAGAAGCACCGGCUAACUCCGUGCCAGCAGCCGCGGUAAUACGGAGGGUGCGAGCGUUAAUCGGAAUUACUGGGCGUAAAGGGCACGCAGGCGGUUAAUUAAGUUGGAUGUGAAAUCCCCGGGCUUAACCUGGGAAUGGCAUUCAAGACUGGUUAGCUAGAGUCUUGUAGAGGGGGUAGAAUUCCAUGUGUAGCGGUGAAAUGCGUAGAGAUGUGGAGGAAUACCGGUGGCGAAGGCGGCCCCUGGACAAAGACUGACGCUCAUGUGCGAAAGCGUGGGGAGCAAACGAGGGAUUAGAUACC